rnacentral:rRNA from 1 species
GUAGGGAAUAUUGGACAAUGGGGGGAACCCUGAUCCAGCCAUGCCGCGUGGAGGAAGACUGCCCUCUGGGUUGUAAACUCCUUUUAUAUGGGAAGAACCGUCCUCAUUAAUGAGUGACCUGACGGUACCAUAGGAAUAAGCACCGGCUAACUCCGUGCCAGCAGCCGCGGUAAUACGGAGGGUGCAAGCGUUAUCCGGAUUCACUGGGUUUAAAGGGUGCGUAGGCGGAUAAAUAAGUCAGUGGUGAAAUCAACGGGCUCAACCUGUUAACUGCCAUUGAUACUGUGUAUCUUGAAUAUGAGAGAGGUAGGCGGAAUGUUGCAUGUAGCGGUGAAAUGCUUAGAUAUGCUACGGAACACCGAUUGCGAAGGCAGCUUACUAUUUCGUAAUUGACGCUGAGGCACGAAAGCGUGGGUAGCGAACAGGAUUAGAAACCCUAGUAGCC